rnacentral:rRNA from 1 species
GAUGAACGCUGGCGGCGUGCCUAAUACAUGCAAGUCGAGCGAACGGACGAGAAGCUUGCUUCUCUGAUGUUAGCGGCGGACGGGUGAGUAACACGUGGAUAACCUACCUAUAAGACUGGGAUAACUUCGGGAAACCGGAGCUAAUACCGGAUAAUAUUUUGAACCGCAUGGUUCAAAAGUGAAAGACGGUCUUGCUGACACUUAUAGAUGGAUCCGCGCUGCAUUAGCUAGUUGGUAAGGUAACGGCUUACCAAGGCAACGAUGCAUAGCCGACCUGAGAGGGUGAUCGGCCACACUGGAACUGAGACACGGUCCAGACUCCUACGGGAGGCAGCAGUAGGGAAUCUUCCGCAAUGGGCGAAAGCCUGACGGAGCAACGCCGCGUGAGUGAUGAAGGUCUUCGGAUCGUAAAACUCUGUUAUUAGGGAAGAACAUAUGUGUAAGUAACUGUGCACAUCUUGACGGUACCUAAUCAGAAAGCCACGGCUAACUACGUG